GACGCUCUCCUCAAGGACACAAGCCAUGCAUGCCGCACACCCGGGAGGCGGCGGACGGCUCAGGACAACGGUUGCACCCCCCGCGGCGGUCCCUGCUAGCCGGACACCGCUGGCAACCCGGCGCCAAGACGUGCGCGCAAGUGCGGGCGCCCGCGG
rnacentral:rRNA from 1 species